rnacentral:tRNA from 1 species
GCGGGGUUAGUACAUCGGUAGUACAGGAGCUUCCCAAGCUUCGGAGGCGGGUUCGACUCCCGUACCCCGCUCCA